AUGUUGUUAGUCCUAAGGGCGUUAGCUUUGAAGGGGCUAAAGGUUAAAAACAUA
rnacentral:tRNA from 1 species